AUGCCAUCCCUGCGUCCCCGCGUCCCCGCGAUCAAUCUAGGAGAUGCUAGCAACAAGAGAGAUGGAGUGCAUCUUCAUACCUCUUGA
rnacentral:rRNA from 1 species